ncrna:Xanthomonas campestris pv. vesicatoria str. 85-10 Fluoride riboswitch
GGCCGCACAGGAGAUGGCAUUCCUCCUCGAACCGCACGCACCCUGCGCGCUGAUGAUGCCUGCCCACCC